UUACAUCCUCGGUCCCAGGGCCUCACGGCUGACACUGCGUUGCCGGAGGCCCUGGCGAAAACCAAAACGAGAAGUGAUUUGAUUGGUCGCAUGAAAACAAUGGAAUGCGGAAAUUGAACACGAACUUUUACUAAUAAAUAUGGCUGACUAUAGGAGUUGAUAGGAGUGUAUUAACUGUUCAAAGAAGACGGAGAGUCGUUUUGGUCGUUGAAAUCUGCUGUCUAUCAAUGGAAAUUUUAUUUUUAAUAUAAAAAAUGUUGGAUGUUGUGUCACAAUGUAUUAAAAAGCUGCACAAAAUUGGACAUUGGAUUAUUUAAAGAUUGAAAUCGCUGAAGCUGAAGGGACAUUUUAUAGUUUUAUAUACGAGAUUUAAUUAUAUACAGAGUAUAAACAAAGACAGGCGAAAGGCUAUGCGAGAAAGACUGUACCGUUAAUUGUACAAAUCUACAAAAAUUGUGAGUGAUGUCUUGAAUCUUUCAAUUACAAAUGAGAAAAUCCUGAUCGUGAAUGAGUGUCUGUGUGGUUGUUCAAUGCAAGAGGGGUCCAUGCCAUAC
rnacentral:lncRNA from 1 species